GUGCCAGCAGCCGCGAUAAUUCCAGCUCCAAUAGCGUAUAUUAAAGUUGUUGCGGUUAAAAAGCUCGUAGUUGAACCUUGGACCUGGCUGGCCGGUCCGCCUCACCGCGUGCACUGUUCCGGCCGGGCCUUUCCCUCUGUGGAACCCCAUACCCUUCACUGGGCGUGGCGGGGAAACAGGACAUUUACUUUGAAAAAAUUAGAGUGCUCCAGGAAGGCCUAUGCUCGAAUACAUUAUCAUGGAAUAAUAAAAUAGGACGCGCGGUUCUAUUUUGUUGGUUUAUAGGACCGCCGUAAUGAUUAAUAGGGACAGUCGGGGGCAUCAGUAUUCAACUGUCAGAGGUGAAAUUCUUGGAUCAGUUGAAGACUAACUACUGCGAAAGCAUUUGCCAAGGAUGUUUUCAUUAAUCAGGAACGAAAGUUAGGGGAUCGAAGACGAUCAGAUACCGUCGUAGUCUUAACCAUCAACUAUGCCGACGAGGGAUCGGACGGUGUUAUUCAUGACCCGUUCGGCACCUCACGAGAAAUCAGAGUGCUUGGGCUUCUGAGAGAAAAAGCUCGUGGCCUGAGAUUUGAGUAUGCCCGAAGCGAGCGCCACCUCGCUUUAUGUUGCUUACAUUUGACUCGGCACUCGAAAGUCACCGCCGGCUGAGAAACAAGAAGGAAUGUGGGAUGACGUCUCGUUCCUCGAUGUUCCUUGACGCGCUGGGCUAGCACGUGCUAGAUGGUCGACUACGUGUCUAGCCACCUACGCGAAACGAGUAGACUCAACAUGCGACUCAGUUCGAUCGUUCUGUGAAGCUCGAGACUCGUAAGCGACUCUCUGAGUCAUGCGAAGCAGCAUUGCGGCGAUGAAUAGUCGCGAGCCUUGAAUAUCUCG
rnacentral:rRNA from 1 species